rnacentral:rRNA from 1 species
AUUGAACGCUGGCGGCAGGCUUAACACAUGCAAGUCGAGCGAGCGGCGGACGGGUGAGUAAUGUCUGGGAAACUGCCUGAUGGAGGGGGAUAACGACUGGAAACGGUAGCUAAUACCGCAUACCAGCAGAUGUGCCCAGAUGGGAUUAGCUAGUAGGUGGGGGAAUGGCUCACCUAGGCGCCGAUCCCUAGCAGGUCUGAGAGGAUGACCUGCCACACGGGACCGUCGGCCCGGUUCAGACUCCUACGGGCGGUAGCAGUGGGGAAUAUUGCCCAAUGGGCGCAAGCCUGGUGCGUCCAUGCCGCGUGUGUGAAGAAGGCCUUCGGGUUGUAAAGCACUUUCAGCGAGGAGGCGUUACUCGCAGAAGAAGCACCGGCUAACUCCGUGCCAGCCGCCGCGGUAAUAC